rnacentral:tRNA from 1 species
GCGCCGGUGGUGUAAGGCAUAGCUUAGCUGCCCGGAAAGCAGAAGGUGCGGGUUGGAGUCCCUCCUAGCGCA